rnacentral:tRNA from 1 species
UCCCUUGUAGCUGGGUUAGUAAAGAAUCUGCCUGCAAUGCAGGAGACCCAGGUUCGACUCCUGGGUUGAGAA